AGUUGAAGCCUUUUUUCUACCUACCUCUCCCAGAAUCCUGUGCAGUUUUUUUUUAUUUUUUUUUUAUCAGAGAAUGAAUCCUCCUGCUGGUUCUGCUGCCAAGUUGAAGACUGGAAUUACAAACACCACUUCAGGCAAAGUUUUGAAAUCAGGGAACAUUUCUCCAAUUAAAGUGAUCAGAGGUCUUUUAAAGUUUUUGGACUUCAGUGGUUUCUCAAAUAAACAUGUCAGCAUAUUGUAUAACUCAUGGAAAAAGAAUGAAGGACAAAAGUUGAACUAUCAGUUCUGCAUCACUGAUCAUCUUCUUCUCACCAACCUUUCUUCAUCUGAAAGCACUGGGCGGAGACGAAGCGGCAUGCUUCACUGCCUUCUUUCCAACAUGUCAGGUCAAUAUCGGACCAUCUCAUAAUUCCAGACUCAUAAUUGCAACAGAGGAAGACCUGUGGCUCAAAUAACUGAUGAGAGAUUGCGAUGGAUUAUCAUCAGAACUCGACCGCAGAACCUUAAUACUAAACCUGCUAGGAGGGGAAACGUGUCCUGGAUUCUUCUGUUCUUUGAUUUCCAAAAACAGAAUGAACUACUUUGUCUUAUGUAAAUAAAACUUAACUGUGUUCAUUUUGUGACUAA